UAAAUGCGGUGGCAUCGACAAAAGAAC
rnacentral:piRNA from 1 species